CAAUAGCGUAUAUUAAAGUUGUUGCAGUUAAAAAGCUCGUAGUUGGAUUUCUGGUGGGAGCGAUCGGUCUGGCGCUUAGCGCGAGUACUUGCAUCGUCUCCGGCCAUCCUUGGGGAGAGUCUGUCUGGCAUUAGGUUGUCGGGCAGAGGAUCCUCAUCGUUUGCUGUGAGAAAAUUAGAGUGUUCAAAGCAGGCUUAUGCCGUUGAAUAUAUUAGCAUGGAAUAAUAAGAUAGGACUUUGGUACUAUUUUGUUGGUUUGCGCACCAAAGUAAUGAUUAAUAGGGACAGUUGGGGGUAUUCGUAUUCCGUUGUCAGAGGUGAAAUUCUUGGAUUUACGGAAGACGAACUACUGCGAAAGCAUUUACCAAGGAUGUUUUCAUUAA
rnacentral:rRNA from 1 species